CUGUAUUUCUAAAAUAAACCAGAGGACAUAGGUUUAAGGUGCCAGGGAAAGAUUGAAUUGGAACCCGAGAGGUAACUUGUUCACACAAAGGGUGAUGGGUAUAUGGUGC